CAUUUCCCAAGGAAAGAAGGCUUUUUUUUCCCCUCAGUACUGUAAAAGGGCGGAAACAGACAGAGAUGAAAACUCACUAUGCUGCCCAGACUCGUCUCGAACUCCUGGGUGUCACGCGUGUCCGUAUAGAAGACCACCUAAACAGGCUUUGUGUUCACGUGUUGAAAUCCUAACUCCAAAUAUGAUGAUAGGAGGAGAUGGGGCCUUCGGGAGGUGAUGAGGUCAUGAGGGUGGAAUCCUCAUGAAUGGUCUCAACGCCCUUAGAAAAGAGACCCCAGAGACCUCGCUCCCGCUUUCUACUGUGGGAGAAUGCAGCAAGAAGUCAGCCGUCUAUGAACAAGGAAGCAGGUCCUCUCCAGGCACUGAAUGUACCAGUGCCUUGAUCUUGGACUUCCCAGCCUCCAGAACUAUGACAAUAAAUUCUGUUGUUUAAGCUA
rnacentral:lncRNA from 10 species